CACACCUCCAUGGAACCAAACAACAGCCUUCUUCUGCAUCGGAACCCAUUCAAACUAGCUAGGGCCAGAAGCUCCAUCGCCGGAGCGGCAUAAACAAAAGCUAGGUAUGGAUGCUCAUUGCCAAAUAACAUCUCUGCCCCUUUGCAGUUAGGGUUAGGGCGCGCUGGGGUUAAGAUUAGUGUUUGUUAGGAUCCAAGACGCUCCUCGGCCUCUUCUGCCGCGGAGGUGGUGGUGGAGUUAUCUUUGUCAUCGAAGGUCUUAGAGUAAGAUGAGCAUGAUAUGGAUGUGGACACAGCAACUUCAGGUGCUCAGGGUCUUGGCAAGCAUCCUUUACCAGAGCUGGAGAUGUACUGUUACAUGCUUGUAUUGAUAUAUUUAAUUGAUCAAAGAAAUACAAUGAGGCAAAAGCUUGUUCCUCUGCAAGCAUUGCCCGCCUAAAGAACAUAAACAGGAGAACUGUUGAUGUUUUAGCCUCCAGGCUAUAUUUCUAUUAUCCUUACGGCUAUGAACUUAUAGAUAGUCUUGCU